AUUGAAACAAUAGUCUGACCAUGUCCUCCAGUACAACAGACACUCUUUGUAGCUCCUCAUUGAUCUGGCUAAUAUAUCAGAUCCCUGAACAGGUGACCCCACUCUGUUAACCCUAAUACUGUAUUUGAAAUUGGGCUUUCUAAACCAGAC